GGGGAAUUGGCGGAACAGGCAGACGCUGCGGACUUAAAAUCCGCUGGUGCAUACCAUAUCGGUUCGACUCCGAUAUUCCCCACCA
rnacentral:tRNA from 2 species